rnacentral:rRNA from 1 species
AUAUCAAUAAGCUGAGGAAAAGAAACCAACAGGGAUUGCCCUAGUAACGGCGAGUGAAGCGGCAACAGCUCAAAUUUGAAAUCUGGCUUCGCCCCGAGUUGUAAUUUGUAGAGGAUGCUUUUGGCGCGGCCCCUUCUGAGUCCCCUGGAACGGGGCGCCAUAGAGGGUGAGAGCCCCGUAUAGUUGGAUGCCUAGCCUGUGUAAAGCUCCUUCGACGAGUCGAGUAGUUUGGGAAUGCUGCUCAAAUGGGAAGGU